rnacentral:RNase_P_RNA from 1 species
AGUGCUUGAAAGGCAACCGCUGGAAACAGAGGAAAGUCCGGGCAGCAUAGAAUGCGGUAGUCGCUAACGGCGACCGUUCGAAAGGACCGGGAAAGUACCACAGAAACUUAUACCGCCUACAUUUGACUGACAUUGGAUUGACGAUUUAUGGCGUCAAGAUUAAGUUGGUCGUAGGUAAGGGUGAAAAGAGUGAGGUAAGAGCUCACAGUGUUUUAUGGUGACAUAGGACAGGGGCAAACCCUACCGGCUGCAAGGAGUGCUAGAUACCCUUAUUCGGGGAUGCACGCUCACCGCUAGAGCCCAAGAGUAAUUUUGGGACUAGAUAGAUGGUUGCUAGCCUUUUUGGCGAACAGAACCCGGCUUAUUGAGAGCAUAAAAA